rnacentral:lncRNA from 1 species
UUGACCCUGCAUGUUUUGAGAAAGCAGACUUGCUGUUUCUCUCUUUACUGUCUACUGCAGCAACAUUGUUUCAGAAAAUGCACCGGGCUGAUCGAGCAAAAAUGUAAACUUCUGAUUGAUGGCAUACUGGGAACGUUAGUGAUCUUUCUGGUGCUGGAACUGCUGAUCUGCAUUACCACUAUGCUGUUUGAACUCAGUGUCUUAGCUGCAGGUGGCAAACAGCGGACUUCAAGCCAUAGACCCACCUACCCACAGACUCGCCCCCCAGCAGCUCCAGCCGUGCAAGUUGUUCAGACCACGGUGGCAGAAGCUGAGCCAUCCCAGGUACCACAUGUUCACGGGGGUCUCCACUGAAACAAACUACACAGAAACAGUACUAUACUCACUUUGCUUUACACGUUUUGGCUGCUCAAGGUGCACCCUUAAAUUAAAAAUCUACACCUGAAUUGAGUUAAAGCAGGUGAGAGCUUCUCAUCUAAAAAUGUUUAAGAUGCUUUUUGUUGGGAUUUAUGAUAAUAACAACAAUAAUCUUUAUUUUAUUAGGAAAAAGGUUCGUCUCAUGUACUCAUGGCUUGGCUCUGUUGUGAGGAAACAGCAUAUUUAGAAUCCAUUCAUUCAAUAAGCCAGGUCAGCCACGAAAACAAAAUUCCUUUAAAAAACAUGUUAAAAUCCAAGGAUAGAUGUAGCAAAUGAGUCCCGCGCUUCAUCUAUGCUUUUAUUUUACCAAAAUUUAGAGUAACGUCACUCCCAGCUCCAAACAGGUCAAUCCCAGUUAAAGGUAGACAAGUCAAACUCCAGUCUUUGAGAACAUUCUGCUUUUUUAUUUUC